rnacentral:rRNA from 1 species
UAAUUGAAGAGUUUGAUCAUGGCUCAGAUUGAACGCUGGCGGCAGGCCUAACACAUGCAAGUCGAGCGGUAACAGGGG